GAUGAACGCUGGCGGCGUGCCUAAUACAUGCAAGUCGAGCGAACAGACGAGGAGCUUGCUCCUCUGACGUUAGCGGCGGACGGGUGAGUAACACGUGGAUAACCUACCUAUAAGACUGGGAUAACUUCGGGAAACCGGAGCUAAUACCGGAUAAUAUAUUGAACCGCAUGGUUCAAUAGUGAAAGACGGUUUUGCUGUCACUUAUAGAUGGAUCCGCGCCGCAUUAGCUAGUUGGUAAGGUAACGGCUUACCAAGGCAACGAUGCGUAGCCGACCUGAGAGGGUGAUCGGCCACACCGGAACUGGGACGCGGUCCAGACUCCUACGGGAGGCACCAGUAUGGAAUCUUCCGCAAUGGGCGAAAGCUUGACGGAGCAACGCUGCGCGAGUGAUGAAGGUCUUCGGAUCGUAAAACUCGGUUAUUAGUGAAGAACAAAUGUGUAAGUAACUAUGCACGUCUUGACGGUACCUAAUCAGAAAGCCACGGCUAACUACGUG
rnacentral:rRNA from 1 species